UUCGUCACCCAACUUGGCAGUUUGUCGAACCUUGACCUCUUUAGUGUGUUUACUAUCUCCUGUGUUUAUUCGCUUGUGUGCUAAUUACUUUAGUUUUUUCUGCAAUGCUUAAGAUCAUUGUAUGCUCCGUUGCCUUUGUUCCUGGCUGCCUGUCGCUUGCUACCAUGUGCCUCUCCAGUCGUGAUGGGCCAUACACACGUCGGACUAUCAACCAGGAGAAUGGGGUUCCAUCUGAAAACCAACAGGUACCUGGAAGGUGGAGUGCCACUGAUGAUUAGUUGCGAGCACCUGAGCCCGGUGCUCUUCAGCUAUAUGACCCAACCUACCUGGAGCCUGGCACUCUCUCUCUCCUUUAUGCCUUUCAUUUGUUUGCGGACACACAACAUCUUCUUUUCACAUUACAGCUACACUCAUGCAUACACUCACCCACACUAUUGAAUUUACUGAUAGUCACACCUCAUCAUAUCUUUGGUUUAUGUUUUGAUUGAUUUAUUAUUCUUUGUUAAA